ensembl:lncRNA
GCUAAAGGUAACCGUGCAGUUUUCUGGAGUCAAGAACAACUCCGGCCAGUCGGGGUUUUGUUGGGCAGCUCUUGCUUUAGCAGCAGCAUCUGCAAUGUCUUGAGUUUAGGAGCGGUCCCUGACCACAGCCUCUUGUACCUUCUCCUAGCCAGGGCAGUGGAGAGCUGCCAAGGGAAGGGAUUUUUGAAUCAUGAAUGCCUUCUGCUAACUGUGGCUUAGUCUGAGGCUCAGGAGGGGAAAUGCCAGGAUCUGCACGGGUGGUUUUGUGCUGGUGUCCCUUUCUCCACCCAGCACCUAGAUGCAGUAUUCCCUCGGCUUGGGGGUUGCCAACCAGAGGUGGAGAAAUAGACCCAGGGUCUUGAUAUGAUAGAGAGAAGGUUGAGUUUGCUCCAGAGAAACUGUCGCUCUGGGCAUCAGGGCAGAGUUUGUGAUGGACAAACUACGGGAUCUUCAGAUGUGUGUCAGACCCUGUUGUGUGAUAACAAUAGCAUUCUCUUUCCAGGCUGGAGGAAGAUUCACAGAACGUGAGUAGGAAGACCCAGAGGCCUUCCUGGGGUAGCAGUUGGGAAAAGGUGUGGAGAGAAAUGUUCUCAGUCCUCUUGGGAGGGAGUGUCCUACCAUGAUGUCAGCCACUUCUCUUCCUGGUUGGUUUGAUUCAUGGUCUCCAGCAUCUGCACAGGACCAGAUGUCUGGUGGGGCCCUCUUCAGCUGUGAAAUACACAGCCGAGGUUCCACACCUUGUAACUUGGCAGUGGUGUUAGUGGUCACGAGUCUUUUGUAGGGUGCUUUCCAUAAAUCUCUUUCCCAAAGCAUACGUGUAAAACAGUAACUGUCUGUAAAGGACAAAAGACUUAAAAAUGCCUGUGAUUAAAGAGCUGAUGAGGUUUCAUCUGAUAAGGAAAUGCAGUUAUUUCUGUGGCAUACAAUACUCUCACUGUCCAAUGAUUAUCUUAAAGUAUUGAAACAUUUCUAGAAACUUCAAUUUCUGGAAUAUAUAUUAGGAACAUAUGUCCAUACAAAUAUAACCUAAGAAGGUUUAUCAUUAUCAUUUCUUAUUUGACAGUUCUUCCCACGUAUUGUAUCAACUAAACCUAAGUAUUUAACAUCUCAUUUACAAGAUGCGAGGCAAAUCUUUUGAUUUCCCAGAGGGCUCCUGGAAAACCUGAGUUUACUUUGAGCAGAUCUUCUCGAACCGGCGUCUCCUGCAU